rnacentral:rRNA from 1 species
AGCGGCGGACGGGUGAGUAACACGUGGGUAACCUGCCCAAGAGACUGGGAUAACACCUGGAAACAGAUGCUAAUACCGGAUAACAACACUAGACGCAUGUCUAGAGUUUGAAAGAUGGUUCUGCUAUCACUCUUGGAUGGACCUGCGGUGCAUUAGCUAGUUGGUAAGGUACGGCUUACCAAGGCAAUGAUGCAUAGCCGAGUUGAGAGACUGAUCGGCCACAUUGGGACUGAGACACGGCCCAAACUCCUACGGGAGGCAGCAGUAGGGAAUCUUCCACAAUGGACGAAAGUCUGAUGGAGCAACGCCGCGUGAGUGAAGAAGGGUUUCGGCUCGUAAAGCUCUGUUGGUAGUGAAGAAAGAUAGAGGUAGUAACUGGCCUUUAUUUGACGGUAAUUACUUAGAAAGUCACGGCUAACUACGUGCCAGCAGCCGCGGUAAUACGUAGGUGGCAAGCGUUGUCCGGAUUUAUUGGGCGUAAAGCGAGUGCAGGCGGUUCAAUAAGUCUGAUGUGAAAGCCUUCGGCUCAACCGGAGAAUUGCAUCAGAAACUGUUGAACUUGAGUGCAGAAGAGGAGAGUGGAACUCCAUGUGUAGCGGUGGAAUGCGUAGAUAUAUGGAAGAACACCAGUGGCGAAGGCGGCUCUCUGUCUGCAACUGACGCUGAGGCUCGAAAGCAUGGGUAGCGAACAGGAUUAGAUACCCUGGUAGUCCAUGCCGUAAACGAUGAGUGCUAAGUGU